GGAACCAUUACAAAAGGGAGGAAGUGAGAAUUGAUGAUGGGGGGGCUACAGCAAUCAAUGCCACAAUGUUCUUUAUCAACAUAAGGAAAUUUCCUCCUAUUUCCAGUAUUUGUCUUCACUUUCAAAGAGCGUAAAGUGAAAGAAAGGAGGAAGUCCACACCCUUGGGUUUGGGGGCAUCGGAUCCAGUGUGCAAUGUGAGAAGUAAAAUGAAGAGGAGAAAUGAUCUAGAGAGACUUUCUGAUGAAGCAAACACCAGAUAUCCUAGAAUUUCAGCAAAUCUAAGACUCCGUCAAGUGUUAGAUGCCCCAUUAUUUUAUGUAUUAUUAAUAAAGAAAAAAACACUGCCAAUUAUAAUUGGCAUUGAUUGAAAGAUACAUCCAGAUUUCAGAGGUAUUCAAGUAGGAAAAG
rnacentral:lncRNA from 10 species